GUGCCGUUAAGGUGGAUGCAGUGCCUGAGGAGGCUAGCACAGGAGGGUAACUCUCCACAAAACCCAGAGAAGAGGUUGUGCAACUCUUCUUUGGAUCCUGUCUGGAGCCACAGCU